GGUGCAGGCGGUCAAACUUCCACCUCUUUGAAGAGACCAAGCAGAUUGAUGACUGACUGGUUCUUUAUACUCAAGACCUCGUCCCGGAGCAGAGGACGGACCUAAGGCCCGCAGUGCAGCCGACUAGAGACUCCAUGUGGAACCGGUUCAAUUAAGUUGACCUCUCCUUCAGGCGACUUAAAGGGAGACCAGAUGUGUGGCAGCUGGGUGUCAUGGUGCAGAGACCCAACGCUGUACUGAACUACACCAGUGUGUCCUACUCCCAUAAACCCUGAGGAUCCCUGGAUGGCUACACCAGCACAUUAAUCCACAACCAACAUCAACACACAGUGCACACUCUAUAGAGCUCGU